GUUGAACGCUGGCGGCAGGCCUAACACAUGCAAGUCGAGCGGAUGAAGGGAGCUUGCUCCUGGAUUCAGCGGCGGACGGGUGAGUAAUGCCUAGGAAUCUGCCUGGUCGUGGGGGAUAACGUCCGGAAACGGGCGCUAAUACCGCAUACGUCCUGAGGGAGAAAGUGGGGGAUCUUCGGACCUCACGCUAUCAGAUGAGCCUAGGUCGGAUUAGCUAGUUGGUGGGGUAAAGGCCUACCAAGGCGACGAUCCGUAACUGGUCUGAGAGGAUGAUCAGUCACACUGGGACUGAGACACGGUCCAGACUCCUACGGGAGGCAGCAGUGGGGAAUAUUGGACAAUGGGCGAAAGCCUGAUCCAGCCAUGCCGCGUGUGUGAAGAAGGUCUUCGGAUUGUAAAGCACUUUAAGUUGGGAGGAAGGGCAGUAAGUUAAUACCUUGCUGUUUUGACGUUACCAACAGAAUAAGCACCGGCUAACUUCGUG
rnacentral:rRNA from 1 species